AGAGUUUGAUCCUGGCUCAGAUUGAACGCUGGCGGCAUGCCUUACACAUGCAAGUCGAACGGCAGCACGGGAGCAAUCCUGGUGGCGAGUGGCGAACGGGUGAGUAAUAUAUCGGAACGUGCCCAGUCGUGGGGGAUAACGCAGCGAAAGCUGUGCUAAUACCGCAUACGAUCUAUGGAUGAAAGCGGGGGAUCGCAAGACCUCGCGCGAUUGGAGCGGCCGAUAUCAGAUUAGGUAGUUGGUGGGGUAAAGGCCCACCAAGCCGACGAUCUGUAGCUGGUCUGAGAGGACGACCAGCCACACUGGAACUGAGACACGGUCCAGACUCCUACGGGAGGCAGCAGUGGGGAAUUUUGGACAAUGGGCGCAAGCCUGAUCCAGCAAUGCCGCGUGCAGGAUGAAGGCCUUCGGGUUGUAAACUGC
rnacentral:rRNA from 1 species